CCUGAACGCUGGCGGCGUGGCUAAGACAUGCAAGUCGUACGGGUGCAGCAAUGCACCAGUGGCGCACGGGUGAGUAAUGUAUCGCUAACGUACCCCGAAGUCUGGGAUAGCUGAGGGAAACUUCAGGUAAUACCAGAUGACAUCACUGAGGAGCACUCCUCGGUGCUCAAAGGAGCAAUCCGUUUUGGGAGCGGACGAUAUCGUAUCAGCUAGUUGGUGAGGUAACGGCUCACCAAGGCGACGACGCGUAGCUGGUCUGAGAGGACGGCAAGCCACAUUGGGACUGAGACACUGCCCAGACUCCGUACGGGGGGCUGCAGUAACGAAUCUUCCGCAAUGCACGAAAGUGUGACGGAGCGACGCCGCGU
rnacentral:rRNA from 1 species